rnacentral:rRNA from 1 species
UACGUAGGUGGCAAGCGUUAUCCGGAUUUAUUGGGCGUAAAGAGAACGCAGGCGGUCUUUUAAGUCUGAUGUGAAAGCCUUCGGCUUAACCGGAGUAGUGCAUUGGAAACUGGGAGACUUGAGUGCAGAAGAGGAGAAUGGAACUCCAUGUGUAGCGGUGAAAUGCGUAGAUAUAUGGAAGAACACCAGUGGCGAAAGCGGCUCUCUGGUCUGUAACUGACGCUGAGGUUCGAAAGCGUGGGUAGCAAACAGG